rnacentral:lncRNA from 10 species
GUAAUGGAGGAAGAAUGUAGGGAGUCCUCCAGUGGACCACACUCCUUCUAGCGAGCCGCGGAAACCAUAGAGAUCAGGGCUCAGCCGGAGGGCCGGCCCACUGCUGUCACGUGGCCUCCAUCCGUGCGCUUUAUUGGCUGGUGCUGGCUUUACGGGGUUGAAUUUUGGACGCUGCCUGCCAUUCGUGGGACCGAGUUUCAGGCAGCUGGAAUAAAGAGAGACAUCGGGGGAAAGCCGCGAGAAGGCCAGCGUCCCUGGCUGGGAGCAGAGCUAGCCGAGUAGGGCGCCCGGCUGUCAAAACUGGCCGGCGCAGUGCACGCUGGGCCGCCCCGGAGCGGUCGCAGAGCCCGUCGGGAGUCGUAGUCCGGGACGGGCCCGCAGCAUUGUCCGCGACGCAGCUCGGGAUCCGCGUCGGGUUGUCGGCCGGGUUGCUGCCAGGCACCGUCGAGCGUUAGCCACCCAGCAUUGAGCUGCCAGCGGCUGUUCUCCCUAAGCACCCUCGCUCACGUCGCCUCGCCUCGCCUCGCCUGACCGGCCGCAGCCUUGGAUACCAGCCUUAAAUCGAGCCGACUACGGCCCAGCCCCGCCCGCGGCGAAGUGCGCGGGGUUCGGUGCCAGCCGCUCGCCCCUGGCCGGGCCAGCCUCUUGAUGCACCGGGGACGGGCGCGCCCAUCCGACUCUUCGAGGGGCGGCAGGGCCCCAUCUGUGUCUUUCGCUCUCGAGCCCCCAGCUAGAGUUGGCUUCAGCGGAAUACCUACUGUGCAGGAUUAUUCAACAAGCCGAUUGAUCACAUUCUUCAGCUCUAGCAGUGCAAAGGCUUCACUGAAAAAGAACAUUACAAAUUUUUUUUGAAAGAAAUUUGGGGGUAAAUUUAAUUUUAAAUACUGAUUUUUGAUAACAUUUGAUCUUAUGACAGCAUUUGUAUUUUUAAUUACAGAUAGGAUUACACUAAAAGUCAUUUCUGACCUGCUCCCUUACCCUUAUGGCUAAAAUAAACUGCUAGGCCCUGAAGCAAAGGCGAGCCAUGUUCUAGAGCAAUGUCUUUCUUGUAUUAAAAUACGGCCCCAUGCUCACAUAUAGGCUGUUUUGUGUUUUGCUUUUCUGUUGAUGCACAAAGGAAUCCUUGAUAUGUUUGUCCUCAAAGACCAAAGACAAGUAUCUAGUAAAAAAUGCAAAUCAUAUCUAACAGUGAAGCUUUCCAGCAAAAACCUUCUGCUCUAGAAUGCAUAAUUAUGCGAGCAUAAGAUCUACUACUCUAGACUUUUAGCAUAAUUACCUAUAGGCAGCAAAACCCUAGUCAAUUGAGUGUCUGGUGCCUCUUGGACCUGGACUUCUCCAAGAGAAUGGGCAAGGAGGACGAAAAGGAAGAGACAGCUAUGCUUUGUGAAACAGGAGGUGACUUAAAAAAAAAAUUCUAUAGCAGUCUUCUUAAUUCCUGUUACAGACUUGAUACGCUUAUCUGCUGUUGAGGACACGGUUGCCAGUUUCUAACCUUCUCUGUCUGCCUGAAAAACUAGAAAUUAGAUGAUCAUAUGGCCUAGAGCCAGAAGUGCAGGAGGCAGAAAGCCAGGGGCCAGUUUUUUUCUUUUUGUUUCUGAAUAAGAAGGCCAAAUCCUGACUUAAAAUAAUCAAAAUAAAUUUUACGGAGUGACGGUCUUUCCAGCUGAAAACCUUAAAACAUGGCAUCUGGAAGAAGGCCUUAGUCUAUUGCUCCCAGGAUGGUACUAUAUAGUCAUUAAAUAGCCCACAGAUAAGGGAGUUAUUGCCCCCUCGUUAUUGGGCUGCCAGGAAUUAAAUGAUGGAACUAAGUUUCACUUGAAACAUUCCCAAAUUAAAACAAAAACAAGCCUUGCUUUGAGCUGUUGAAAAGGCAUUUUACUGAGAAGAUCCAGAUGCUAUUGCUGUUCUUAAAUGAUGUUGAAAGGCAAAGGGUCAGGACUUUCAAAAAGUCACUUUGAGGUCACCUCACAUAAGCAAGCAACAGUUUGAACUGAUGCAAAAACAAACAAUGAAAUUAUGAACAGGAGGAAGAAACUAAAAUGAGGGCAGUAUAUGCCAUAAAUAUGGAAGAGGCUGUCUCUUAUUUAUCUUCUCAUUUCCUGUACAUAAUACAGAAACCUGGUAUGUAAUAGGCAUACAAUUAUUUGUGGCUCAACUGAAUAAACGAAGAUGGAAACCAGCAAGCAGCGGGCAGAUAAUAUACUUGGGAAAGGAGAACUGCAGAGACGCUGGGUGGUUCAAGGCUUCUGCAUGAUCCUCAAAUGUCACCCCAAUCUGCUGUGACAUAGCUAUACCACUCAUCAGAAUACCCCAAAACAAAUUGUCUGCCUCCCUUAUGUACAACUUUUAUUAUUUCUUAUCUCGGUUGGUUAAGAAUAUGUAGUAAUGGCCGGGCGCGGUGGCUCACGCCUGUAAUCCCAGCACUUUGGGAGGCCGAGGCAGGAGGAUCACCUGAGGUCAGGAGUUCGAGACCAGCCUCAACAUGGAGAAACCCCGUCUCUACUAAAAAUACAAAAUUAGCCGGGCGUGGUGGUGCAUACCUGUAAUUCCAGCUACUCGGGAGGCUGAGGCAGGAGAAUUGCUUGAACCUGGGAGGCAGAGUUUGCGGUGAGCUGAGAUCGCGCCAUUGCACUCCAUCCAGCCUGGGCAACAAGAGCGAAACUCCAUCUCAAAAAAAAAAAAAAAAAAAAAAGAAUAUGUAGUAAUGGUUAAGAGUCCACUGUGGAAUCAGCCUGCAUAGGUCCAAAUCCCAGCCCUGACUGAAUACCUGUGAACAAGUUAUAUCAGUGACUCAGGCUUAUUAUCUGUAAAAUGGGGAUUAUAGCAUUCCUGCCUCAUAGGGAUGUUAUGAGAUUUAAAUACCAAUAAGUCUGUACAUUAUAAACCUUAUCAGAUUGGUGUGGUGAAAAUGCUCAGUAACUGAGCCUCGUGAGCAUUAGAAUGUUGAGAUCAGCAUGAAGUUAGCCUGUAUACUGGGCAUACACAUUCUUCUGGAUUUGCUCCUUUUGUGAGCAAUCAAUGAUGAGCUAAAGGCAUUUGCUAACUAGUAGGAAUGAAAUAAGGUUUCAGACAGGAUCUUGGUGGGUGAUGUAGAUUUUAUCUGUCCCAUUUGUCCCAUUUCUCAACUGGAAGUGAGUCUGGCCUUGGUCUGCAUCUGUGCUCUCCCCUUCACAAAAGGCAGGCCCAGAGAGACUCCAGAGAUGGCCCCUGUCUCCUGUGUGUCCUCCGCCGCUGUGUCCACUUGGGCACGUCAAAGGAGGCCUUGAUGUGCAGACGCGAUGGGGCAACGAUGAGACCGAAUAAACAAUUGACAUCUAACCCCAGAAGAAGAGCAAGGACCUGGGACCCAGAAGGAAGAGGCUGUGAGAGGUACAAACUGCAGGCAUGGACAUGAUGCAUAUAGAGGACAGCCACACUAAGCUUUGAGGCUUCUGGAGGCAACACAGAGUAACCAUUUGAAUGGAAAUCACUGAACAGACACAGAGAAAGAGAAACCAUCCAAUGACUUGAGGGUGACACCAAGUUUGCCUGGUGGCCUCAGGACUCCUGGCUCACUGGUCCCACUGUCUCCCCCCGCCCAUCAGAAUACAUGAAGGCUGGUGGGGCACGGUGGCCCAUGUCUGUAAUCCCAACACUUUGGGAGGCCAAGGCGGGCAGAUCACCUGAGUUCGAGACCAGCCUGGCCAACAUGGUGAAACCUCGGCUCUACUAAAAAUACAAAAUUAGCUGAGUGUGGUGGCACAUGCCUGUAAUCCCAGCUACUCGGGAGGCUGAGGCAGGAGAAUCACUUGAACCCAGGAGGCUGAGGUUGCAGUGAGCUGGGAUCAUGCCACUGCACUCCAGCCUGGCGACAGAGUGAGACUCCAUCUCCAAAAAAAAAAAAAAAAAAAAUACGUGAAGGCUUUCCUACCACACCAUGCAUGUGGGACACGUCAGAGUGGGAAGCUCCAUGGAUCUACAGCAAGGCUGUUCGACUAAGAGUGAAUAAAUGGGUGAAUUCCAUGGGCUGAACAUGUCAGGAAUAUUUUCUUCUUAGGGCAGCGAUCUUAACUUCUGGAGAAAUUGAGUUCCUAAGCUGUAGAGCCUUAGAACCCUGGCAUACAUUUCUGUGGAGAAACAGAAAGCCCAGACAUCCCAGUCCACACACGUCUUUCUUCUGACCAACACCAGCCAUAGGAAGCAAGGCCCGGGAGAGCACUGGGGACAGGGCAUGUCCGCCCGGAGCAGGGCAGGAGAGCACAGGCAUGUGAUGCAGCCCUGGGUCUGUCGUCCCGUUUGCGCCGGGAAUGAAUCGGGUUUUUCUAGCCUCUAAGCACAGAGGUAUUUUUGACUCAGCACCGUGAAGAGACGACAAUAGCUCAGCUUCUGCCAGCUGCCCGAUUUAGACACGAGACCUUCACUACAUAUUUCUGUCUCUUGCCCUACUCAGAAGAAGGACUUAAAAAUCCCCCAAGACGGAACUGAGUUUUCCUCUGUUCAUUUUUUUAAAUUACACUACUUGAAGAACCCCAAACAAAUAAGGCUCUGGGCCUCCAAGACCAUGUAAUCCAUUGUGCUCGUGUGGAAGAGCUGCCCCCAGUAGAGGCAACAGGAAUGGCCUGGUCACUCAGCAGGUCCCCUGCCCAUCUUCCCACCACCCCUUGCCCCACCCACCGGGAAGGAGGAGGGAGCACAGGCUGCUUUGAGCAGUCAUCGUGCCUCUACCUGGAGCCUGUACUCACUGUCUUGGGGGCCGGUAUUUCCCAGGAGGGCUAUUGUGUGUUUCCUUGUCUGUUUCUCUUUCUGGAAUGCGAGCUGUUUCAAAAUGAACUGAAGAUCAUUCACCUCCACCCCUCAGCUCUCAGCAUAGAGGUGUGCACAGAGUACAUGCUCAGUAAAUGUUUAACAGAUAUAUUUUUAACUUAUUUUAUUUUACUUUUUUUUUCUUUUUCUUUUUUUUUUUUUUUUUGAGACAAGAGUCUUGCUCCAUCACCCAGGCUGGAGUGCAGUGGCCUGAUCUUGGCUCACUGCAACCUUCACCUCCCGGGUUCAAGUGAUUUUCCUGCCUCAGCCUCCCAAGCAGCUGAGAUUACAGGCAUGCACUACCGCGCUUGGCUAAUUUUUGUAUUUUUAGUAGAGAUGGGGUUUCACCACGUUGGCCAGGCUGGCCUCGAACUCCAGACCUCAAGUAAUCUUCCCAUCUCGGCCUCCCAAAGUGCUGGGAUUACAGGCAUGAGCCACUGCACCUGGUCUAUUUAUUUAUUUAUUUUUGAGACGGAGUUUUGCUCUUGUUGCCCAGGCUGGAGUACUGCCCAGGUGAUCUGUCUGCCUUGGCCUCCCAAAAUGCUGGGAUUACAGGCGUGAGCCACCGUACCCGGCCUGUAUCUUGUAGUCUUGCUGAACUCACUUAUUAGUUCUAGGAGGUUUUUUUGUAGACUCCUUGGGAUAUUCAUGUGAACGGUCAUAUCAUCUGCAAACAGGGACAAUUUUUUUAUUGCUUUCCAAUCUGUAUUCCUUUUCUUUUCUUUCUUCUCUUUUUCUUUUUGUGUCAUAUUGCACUAACUAUUUCCAGCUCCAUGUUGAAUACAUACUUUACUUUUAAAAUAGAAUUUUAAAAAUCUUUUCUUUCUUUUACAAGUUGCAAAACACUUUUUCUCCUAAACCAUCUUCAGCAUUUUAAAAAUGCAUCUGUUAGGCUGGGGAUGGUGGCUCAUGCCUGUAAUCCCAGCACUUCGGGAAGCCAAGGCAGGCAGAUCACCUGAGGUCAGGAGUUUGAGACCAGCCUGGCCAACAUGGUGAAACCCCUCUCUACUAAAAAUACACAAAAUUAGCCGGGUAUGGCGGUGGGCAC